rnacentral:rRNA from 1 species
UACGUAGGCAGCAAGCGUUGUUCGGAGUUACUGGGCGUAAAGGGUGCGUAGGCGGUUGUUUAAGUUUGGUGUGAAAUCUCCCGGCUCAACUGGGAGGGUGCGCCGAAUACUGAAUGACUAGAGUGCGGGAGAGGAAAGUGGAAUUCCUGGUGUAGCGGUGAAAUGCGUAGAUAUCAGGAGGAACACCGGUGGUGUAGACGGCUUUCUGGACCGUAACUGACGCUGAGACACGAAAGCGUGGGUAGCAAACAGG